GGUUAAGCGACUAAGCGUACACGGUGGAUGCCCUGGCAGUCAGAGGCGAUGAAGGACGUGCUAAUCUGCGAAAAGCGUCGGUAAGGUGAUAUGAACCGUUACAGCCGGCGAUGUCCGAAUGGGGAAACCCAGUGCAAUUCGUUGCACUAUCGUUAACUGAAUACAUAGGUUAACGAGGCGAACCGGGGGAACUGAAACAUCUAAGUACCCCGAGGAAAAGAAAUCAACCGAGAUUCCCCCAGUAGCGGCGAGCGAACGGGGAGCAGCCCAGAGUCUGAAUCAGCUUGUGUGUUAGUGGAACGGUCUGGAAAGUCCGACGGUACAGGGUGAUAGUCCCGUACACCAAAAUGCACAGGUUGUGAACUCGAAGAGUAGGGCGGGACACGUGGUAUCCUGUCUGAAUAUGGGGGGACCAUCCUCCAAGGCUAAAUACUCCUGACUGACCGAUAGUGAACCAGUACCGUGAGGGAAAGGCGAAAAGAACCCCGGCGAGGGGAGUGAAAAAGAACCUGAAACCGUGUACGUACAAGCAGUGGGAGCACCUUCGGGUGUGACUGCGUACCUUUUGUAUAAUGGGUCAGCGACUUAUAUUCUGUAGCAAGGUUAACCGUAUAGGGGAGCCGCAGGGAAACCGAGUCUUAACUGGGCGUUAAGUUGCAGGGUAUAGACCCGAAACCCGGUGAUCUAGCCAUGGGCAGGUUGAAGGUUGGGUAACACUAACUGGAGGACCGAACCGACUAAUGUUGAAAAAUUAGCGGAUGACUUGUGGCUGGGGGUGAAAGGCCAAUCAAACCGGGAGAUAGCUGGUUCUCCCCGAAAGCUAUUUAGGUAGCGCCUCGUGAAUUCAUCUUCGGGGGUAGAGCACUGUUUCGGCUAGGGGGUCAUCCCGACUUACCAACCCGAUGCAAACUACGAAUACCGAAGAAUGUUAUCACGGGAGACACACGGCGGGUGCUAACGUCCGUCGUGAAGAGGGAAACAACCCAGACCGCCAGCUAAGGUCCCAAAGUCACAGUUAAGUGGGAAACGAUGUGGGAAGGCACAGACAGCCAGGAUGUUGGCUUAGAAGCAGCCAUCAUUUAAAGAAAGCGUAAUAGCUCACUGGUCGAGUCGGCCUGCGCGGAAGAUGUAACGGGGCUAAACUGUGCACCGAAGCUGCGGCAGCGACACUAUGUGUUGUUGGGUAGGGGAGCGUUCUGUAAGCCUGCGAAGGUGGCCUGUGAGGGUUGCUGGAGGUAUCAGAAGUGCGAAUGCUGACAUAAGUAACGAUAAUGCGGGUGAAAAGCCCGCACGCCGGAAGACCAAGGGUUCCUGUCCAACGUUAAUCGGGGCAGGGUGAGUCGACCCCUAAGGCGAGGCCGAAAGGCGUAGUCGAUGGGAAACAGGUUAAUAUUCCUGUACUUGGUGUUACUGCGAAGGGGGGACGGAGAAGGCUAUGUUAGCCGGGCGACGGUUGUCCCGGUUUAAGCAUGUAGGCGGAGGUUCCAGGUAAAUCCGGUACCUUUUUAACGCUGAGGUGUGAUGACGAGGCACUACGGUGCUGAAGUAACAAAUGCCCUGCUUCCAGGAAAAGCCUCUAAGCAUCAGGUAACAUUAAAUCGUACCCCAAACCGACACAGGUGGUCAGGUAGAGAAUACCAAGGCGCUUGAGAGAACUCGGGUGAAGGAACUAGGCAAAAUGGUGCCGUAACUUCGGGAGAAGGCACGCUGAUAUGUAGGUGAAGCCCCUGCGGGUGGAGCUGAAAUCAGUCGAAGAUACCAGCUGGCUGCAACUGUUUAUUAAAAACACAGCACUGUGCAAACACGAAAGUGGACGUAUACGGUGUGACGCCUGCCCGGUGCCGGAAGGUUAAUUGAUGGGGUUAUCCGUAAGGAGAAGCUCUUGAUCGAAGCCCCGGUAAACGGCGGCCGUAACUAUAACGGUCCUAAGGUAGCGAAAUUCCUUGUCGGGUAAGUUCCGACCUGCACGAAUGGCGUAAUGAUGGCCAGGCUGUCUCCACCCGAGACUCAGUGAAAUUGAACUCGCUGUGAAGAUGCAGUGUACCCGCGGCAAGACGGAAAGACCCCGUGAACCUUUACUAUAGCUUGACACUGAACAUUGAGCCUUGAUGUGUAGGAUAGGUGGGAGGCUUUGAAGCGUGGACGCCAGUCUGCGUGGAGCCAACCUUGAAAUACCACCCUUUAAUGUUUGAUGUUCUAACGUUGGCCCCUUAUCGGGGUUGCGGACAGUGUCUGGUGGGUAGUUUGACUGGGGCGGUCUCCUCCCAAAGAGUAACGGAGGAGCACGAAGGUUAGCUAAUCCUGGUCGGACAUCAGGAGGUUAGUGCAAUGGCAUAAGCUAGCUUGACUGCGAGCGUGACGGCGCGAGCAGGUGCGAAAGCAGGUCAUAGUGAUCCGGUGGUUCUGAAUGGAAGGGCCAUCGCUCAACGGAUAAAAGGUACUCCGGGGAUAACAGGCUGAUACCGCCCAAGAGUUCAUAUCGACGGCGGUGUUUGGCACCUCGAUGUCGGCUCAUCACAUCCUGGGGCUGAAGUAGGUCCCAAGGGUAUGGCUGUUCGCCAUUUAAAGUGGUACGCGAGCUGGGUUUAGAACGUCGUGAGACAGUUCGGUCCCUAUCUGCCGUGGGCGCUGGAGAAUUGAGGGGGGCUGCUCCUAGUACGAGAGGACCGGAGUGGACGCAUCACUGGUGUUCGGGUUGUCAUGCCAAUGGCAUUGCCCGGUAGCUAAAUGCGGAAGAGAUAAGUGCUGAAAGCAUCUAAGCACGAAACUUGCCCCGAGAUGAGUUCUCCCUGAGACUAUAAGUCUCCUGAAGGAACGUUAAAGACGAUGACGUUGAUAGGUCGGGUGUGUAAGCGUAGCGAUACGUUGAGCUAACCGAUACUAAUGAACCGUGAGGCUUAACCUU
rnacentral:rRNA from 1 species